CAGUAUCACGUAGAAGUGUGGGCUGUCACAUGGAGCAUUAUCUUAAUUUAUUUCUUUUUCAGGACUAAGAUGAUAUCUGAGGCAGGUGGUGAAUGACAAAAUGAUGAGUUGGAAUUUGGCAGAUCAGUAAGUUCAACAGAAGAAAUGAGCAUAGGAGGGAAGGCAAGAAAACCCCACAGAAAUCUGUUCAAAAGAGGAAUCACUGUCAGGCUUACAGAAUCAGAUAAAGUAAAAGAACGAUUUGAUUUGACGAGGAUGACAGCAGAGGAGGCAUAGAACAGAAAGAAACUCGGCAAAAGGAAUGGAGCCAUGCGCAGAGUCACUUGGCUUCUCACUGUGACCCCAUCUGUUCAUUUUCAACCUAUGUAUAAAUUUAAUUAGAAUUCAUUAACAAACAGUAUGUAAUAAAACUGUAGCUAUUUUGGGACAGGAACCAUUUAAUUCUUGCUGAUUUUGCCAUUCAUUAGGCAGCUGUUACAGUGCACCACUAGAUGUCACUUUUAAUGUUCUCUCAGUUUGUAAGAUAUGAUGAACUCGCAAAGACUAAAUAUUAAUUCACAAAACAUGUCACGUAGUUUUGAGCUUUAGCCCCUCAACUAUUGUAGUUUGCAGACUGGUGCAAGAACCAAAAUUCUGUAUACAAUAAGCUUUAAAUUGAACGUGAUACCAGACAGUCCAAAAUUAUUUUAACAAAUGAUUAAAGGAGAAACAAACCCUU